GUGAAGCAGCCGACACGAGUCGUUGUUCAUAAAACAGCUUUUGAAAGUUGAGAGCACACCCCUGGAGAACCGACUGUGCUUGCUUACGUUUGGUUCAUGACUUAAAAAUCGAGUACAGGAGUUAUUCCUGAUGAGACUAAGGCUUUGUCUCUAUUGGCACCAGCUAAUGCAGUGGCAGGUCUUCUGCCUGGUGGUGGACUCCUGCCUACCCCCAACCCACUUACCCAGAUUGGCGCUGUUCCCCUGGCUGCAUUGGGAGCUCCAGCUCUUGAUCCUGCCCUUGCUGCUCUUGGGCUUCCAGGAACAAACUUGAACUCUCAGUCCCUUGCUGCAGACCAGCUAUUGAAGCUUAUGAGUACUGUUGAUCCCAAGUAAGCUUUAAAAUCCAGACAAGAAGGAAGAAAAGAGAAGACAUUCGAGAUCAAGGUCACGCUCCAGGAGGAGGAGGACCCCCUCAUCCUCCAGACACAGGCGGUCACGAAGCCGGUCAAGGAGGCGGUCACACUCCAAGUCCAGGAGUAGAAGGAGAUCCAAAAGUCCAAGACGGAGACGAUCUCAUUCGAGAGAGAGGGGUAGAAGGUCAAGGAGCACAUCCAAAGCCAGAGACAAAAAGAAAGAAGAUAAAGAAAAAAAACGUUCCAAAACUCCACCAAAAAGCUACAGCACAGCCAGACGCUCUCGGAGUGCAAGCAGAGAGAGAAGACGACGGCGAAGUAGGAGUGGUACAAGGUCCCCUAAAAAGCCCAGAUCUCCUAAAAGAAAGCUGUCCCGCUCACCAUCCCCAAGGAG
rnacentral:lncRNA from 1 species